UACAGGGGGUGCAAACGUUGCUCGGAAUCAUUGGGCGUAAAGCGCACGUAGGCGGUCUGUUAUGUCGGAUGUGAAAGCCCUCGGCUCAACUGAGGAAGUGCAUCCGAAACUGGCAGGCUAGAGUACUAAAGAGGGUCGCGGAAUUCCCGGUGUAGAGGUGAAAUUCGUAGAUAUCGGGAGGAACACCGGUGGCGAAGGCGGCGACCUGGGUAGAUACUGACGCUGAGGUGCGAAAGCGUGGGGAGUAAACAGG
rnacentral:rRNA from 1 species